rnacentral:rRNA from 1 species
CGGGUGAGUAAUGUCUGGGAAACUGCCUGAUGGAGGGGGAUAACUACUGGAAACGGUAGCUAAUACCGCAUAACGUCGCAAGACCAAAGAGGAGGACCUUAGGGCCUCUUGCCAUCGGAUGUGCCCAGAUGGGAUUAGCUAGUAGGUGGGGUAACGGCUCACCUAGGCGACGAUCCCUAGCUGGUCUGAGAGGAUGACCAGCCACACUGGAACUGAGACACGGUCCAG